GUAUCUUCCACAGCACCCAUGGUUUUUUACCCAUUUUUCAUGUCCAUCUUUCUUCUGUGUGUAUUUUUGUUUUAAAUGCAUAUAGAUUCUGUAAUGUAUUUGACUAAAAAAAAGAGAGAACGUGGGCUACAGGAGAAACAUGCUGCAUUGCCCAGGGCAGUAUGGGUAAUAAAGUCAUUAAUUCAGCUGAUUAAGCUGGCCUUCGGGUUAAAGAAAAAUCAUAUCCGUCUCCUUCUCAGAUGUAACUGGGGACGCACAGAAGAGGCGAAAAUGCCAGCUAAUUAGCAGACGAAAAGAGAGGGAAUGAGCACGGAGGGAGGGAACAACGGAUUGGGGGACAGAGAGGUGCUUCUACUGAACUCUUAAUGAGACAUCUUUGGGGGUGAGGGGGUUACACGCUCAUCAAACCACACACACACGCACACACACACGCACACACACACACACACAUCUCAAAGACUGCACUUCCUUAGAGCCGCACAAUGCUAACUAAUGAUCCGCAACUAGAGCGAGAGCGAGAGGGGUAAAAUGUCAGUUGAUGCACGGUUUUAAUGAGCUUGUUGUGAAAGGCGAGCAUGGCGAGGGAAAGAAAAUUACAGCGAAAGGACUGACCCAUCAUGCUUUGCUUGAAGACUCCAAAUUGCCACAGGGUUUGCUUUAUUUCCUCGUUUAAUAGAGGCAACCCGUAUCUCUCGAGAGGGCUUUGUGGAAGAUUGCUUCAUGCCAUUUUCUCUCAGAGGACAAGAGAAAUCACAGUGAUAUUCUGUCCAGACUGCUUGGUGAUGACACACUGGUACACACGUCACCCAUCCUUAAGAGGGCCCUUGUGUCACGAAAAUAGACUUGAGCGAUCCUCUCAGGCAACACUACCCCCUUUUGAGGUUCUGUGAGGUAAGCGUUGAUAUUAAGAAGCAUAAAAUCUGUUCUCUUACACUAGAGGACAAUCACUGCUGACAGCACAGAAAGCAAAUUACAAUCUAAACAUCCAUCAUUUAGCAGUGACAGCAUGAAAAAGACACUAAGUUAAAGCCAUUUUUAUGACAAAAUGUAAUUAAAUAUUUGUAUU
ensembl:lncRNA